GAAAGGAAACGCUUCACUGCUGCGUUGCAGUUAAAACAGUGCUUUAGUGGUGGCGCUGAAAUGCUGGUUUGGCACCGGCCAGCCUAGUCCCGAUUUUGAACUCCUGGGGAAGCGCCUUUUUGAGUUUCUUCGCAGGGUUGGGGAGCCCUCAGCAUCUUGCCCCUUCCUUACCCCCACUUGGUUGGAGGGUCAUUUUGCCCCCACCGCAUGAUUUCUCUACUUGAACCCCUGCUCUGCAAACAUUAUUCGAAACCCUGCUGCAUUCGCCUUCUCUGUGUCCUUGGGUAAUGCUGAGGCGGGGGCGGGCGCACCUGUGUCCAGCUGCCUUGAAAGCAUGCCGCCCGAACUGGGAAGGGCACGUGGCCACCAGUGACCAGUGGUGCUACCCGUUUGGGGCGGCACCUUCUCCGGAGUGGGGGUACCGGCUCCAGAGGACAGAGCAGCCUGGCUGGCUGUGUCGCUUCUCUAAGUUGCCUCUCCCAGCGUGGGCUCCAGCCAUUACCAUUUCUGAGAGCAAACCUUGCCUCCACCGCUCCUAGCUGCUCUGACUUUGCCAACCUUAACUCACAACGUACCCGCGGAUCACUUUUCUGCAGAGGCCUAACGGGCUGGCCAGGAAGCCUCAGCAGAUAAAUUAUUUACAGUGUUUAAUUAUCAUCAUAUAGAUUUAUUAAACUUCUUGGUUACCUAGGAACCCAUGUAGCUGCUGCCCAGAGUUUGCUAAACUUUGAAUAAUAGAUGUCUUGUUCGAAGACAAAAUCCCUUUGUCCCUGCAGCUCCCGUCUCCACGAUGCCUGUGUGUGUGUGUGUGUCAUGGGCGGACUUGUUUGUGUGCCGGUAAACGGUUAACAACCGGCUCUUGGGGCGGACGACAAACUCCAGUUUGUAGUGUUUGCUGAUGAGUGCAGUGUAAAUACACACACCAUGGCCAGCAGGAAGGUAGGAAACGGAGUCAGGAUGGAAUGUACAGUCUUCUAUUGUUUACGUAUGUUAAGUCUGAGUGUGUGUGAUUAUUUAUAUUAUAUAUGCAAAUACAUGUAUAUGUAAUAUUUCUACCCUGCAUAGUAUAAAUAUAGACAUAUAAAUAGUCUCAAGAGCACAGAUAAUAUACAAUUAUCAUACUAAAAAUCACGUGAAAAUUGUGUAAAUUUUAGUAAAUCUAAUAAAAUUUAGCAAAAAAUGAGAUGUGCACUCCCAUUUCACUGAGUAUAUAUGAAAAAUAUAUAUACUAUUAUGUAUUUAUAUCAUAUAUAUAAGUAUAUAUAUAAUAUUUCCACUAUCCAGACACAGCAUAAAUACAGACUUAUAAAUGACCUCAGAGCAUAGUUCAUUUAAUUUUAAACAUACUAAAAUUAUUCACAAGUACUGGAUUUUGAGUUUCUCUUACCUUUGAUUUUGCUAUAGCUUAUUUUUUAAAUCAAAGCAUAGUCGAUUUACGACGUGUUAAUUUCUGCUGUACAGUGAAAAGUGCAUGUAUUCUUUUUCAUACUCGUUCCCGUCGUGGUUUCUCACAGGGUGCUGAGCGAAGCUCCCUGCGCCGCACAGCAGGGCCUUGUCGUUUAUCCACCUGAUACAUAGUAGUUGGCACCUGCGAGCCCCAAAGUCCGACUUCAUCCUUCCCCCACCUUCCCUUCCCCUUGGCAGCCGCAAGUCCCUUCUCUUCUGUGGCUUAUUUAAUGGUGAGUUUAUUUAAUUGAAUGUUUAAUAACGAGUGUGUUCAUCAACCGGCUCAUAAAAUCCCUGGAAGCGUAGCUCUCUUGCGUUGGUCGGACAGGGCUGCAGCCCAGCACCAUGCUGCCAGCUUCCCGCUGCAUCCUAUGUUCAGAUGCACUUCAUGAUCUGUGACUCACUCAGCCUCACGGCUAACAGGCCAUCUCUGCACAGUUUUCUGCUGGGGUGUGAUGAGCCGGUUGGCUUGCUGCUAAGUGUCCUCGACAGCAAGCAGACGCAUGUACCCUGGCUGGUGCAUCCCAGACAAUUCUGUUGUACUGAUAUUAAGGACAACAGUAUUUUGCCAGAAGCUAUAACGAGAUGAUUCUGUAACAACAGCAUGGUGACACCAGACUCUGUUUUGCAAUUUUCUUUAAUAUUUAUGCUGGAUAAAUAAUUUAUCUCUUUUCUUCUUCUUCUUUUUUUUUUUUUUUUUUUCAUCUCGGGUGUGUUGAUAUAGACAGGUGCUAGGUUUUCUGAAUGACUAAAGCAAGGAUUUGGUUAUUCCCUACCCCCCCCCCCGCCCCCCAAAAAACAGAUGCGUCAGCAGAGUCGAGCCUCUGGGACUUGUCCUGCAUCCCAUCUCCUAAUACGAGCUAAUCAGAUCCUUUAGGAUCAGCCCCACAUUUGAAGGGAGGCACCUACUGAAGUGACAUUUUUGCACGCAUUGUAACAUCAGAACCUUCGUAUACCAUGGUGUUUGAAAACCCAAAAAGUCACGGCCCCUGUCAGUUGUCUAUUUGGAACUUAGUGUAGAUGUUCCUUCUAGUCCAGGGUUUCUUAACCCGGGAACUGUUGACAUUUGGUGCCAGGUCAUUCUCUGCUGAGUGCUCCGUCCUGUGUAUUAUAGGAUCCUCAGCAGCGUCGCUGGCCCCUGCUUGUCAGAGGCCAGCAGCAACUCCUGGACCCAAGAAGGCAUAAUGAAAAAGUGCAUCCAGGAGUUCCCAUUGUGGCUCAGUGGUUAAUGAACCCAACUAGGAACCAUGAGGUUGUGGGUUUGAUCCCUGGCCUUACUCAGUGGGUUAAGGAUCCAGCACUGGCGUGAGCUGUGGUGUAGGUUGCAGACGUGGCUGAGAUCCUGCUUUGCUGUGGCUGUGGUGUAGGCCGGCGGCUACAGCUCUGAUUGGACCCCUAGCCUGGGAACCUCCAUAUGCCGCAGGUGUGGCCCUAGAAAAAG
rnacentral:lncRNA from 1 species